UUAAGUGACGAUAGCCUAGGAGAUACACCUGUACCCAUGCCGAACACAGCAGUUAAGCCCUAGAACGCCGGAAGUAGGGGGUUGCCCCUGUGAGAUAUGGUAGUCGCUAGCU
rnacentral:rRNA from 1 species